UACUUACACUCACACACCAAACCCACACUCACAUAGUGUAGAGAAAAUCUCUUGUGUCCUGUAUAGAUGCAACACCUGUCAAUUAAAACCGAUUGUCCAGUAGCUGAGGCAGGAAAUAGAAGAUGGGACAUCCCACGGGGAGAGAGAUUUCUGGGAUAGAACCAGGCACCAGGCACAGGAUUGAGGCCCCAGGAAGAGGAAGGAGAAUGUGCGUGGAACCUGAGCAGAGACUAUCUCUCCACAGAGAAUUGAGAUGUGUUGGCUUUAUCUAGAGCCCACUCACUGGAAGCUCUUCGUGGUUCCUCUGACAGGGUCUCCUGUGAACAAGACCUGCCUCAAAGGAACUAUGCACCCGAGGAUGACCUUGAACUCCUGACCCUCCUGCCUCUCUUCCCCAAGUAGUGAGGAUAAAGGCUUGUGCUGCCAUACCAGGCUUAGAACCCAAGAUUUUUUCUAAGAACAUUUAACACUCAAAUGCAGGAAGAAAAGAUUCAACAGUGACCAAACUGAAGUGCUCCAGAUCCACUAACAAAGCGGCAUGCAUCAUCAGCGAGUGCGUCAUUUACAGGUUCUCGUCACAAACCGGUUAAAACAAACUGUCACGAGAGGGACUAGGCAGCCACUGAGGGUGAGCAGGACCCUCCCAGGCAUCUACAGCAUCACUUCCACAGACAGACAUCUUCUUUUCACUGUGGACCAACAUCUUUGCAUUAAUUUUAUGACUUGUGAGCGUGGUGAUGCACACUCAGUACAGAGAACUCGGGAACCUAAAGAAAACAGAAAGCACAAAUAUGUCUUCUAUAUCACUAACUCCAAGUUCUCCCUCACAGCCCAUGCUGUCUUCCGACGCACACUUUACUGUUUUAAUAAAGUGUAAGAGACAAUGGGGAGACAUCUCCCUGUUUAAUGACUCUUGCCUGGAGUCCCAGGCUUCUCCUCAUACAAACUGUCAGAGCUGGAUACAUCUGCCAGCUCCUCGGUUCUUUCUCUCAUCCUCCUUAAGAAUGGCUCGUCUUGGGACUCGUCACAGCCUCGGAGACCAGAAAGAGGACUUCAGAUCCAGUUUGGCACUUGACCCCGCUCGUCAUGGAGAAGAUCAAGCUGAUCCAGCAGGCCAAGCUGGCUGACAUGGCCACCUGCAUGAACAUCGUGAUGGAGCCGGGCGCCGAGCUGUCCAAUGAGGAACGCACCUGCUGUCGGUGGCUUACAAGAUCGUAAGGACAUGGUUGGGGGCCGCAGGUCUGCCUGGAGGGUCAUUUCAAGCAUUGAGCAAGACCAACACCUCCAACAAGAAAUGUCUCCUGUGUCACAUAUUCUGGAGGUUACAUCUGUCUGUGACAACAGGAGUUUUCUUAUGCAUUCUUCAUUUGCUGCUGUGUAAGUUGACAACUUCCUUCCUAAUAGAAAUGCACUAACACCUCUUGCCUUCAUAGCUCUGGUAUUCACUUUACCUUGUGAUAGAAGUAGUCUGUUGUUGCAGAAUACAAGCAUUGCUUUGGGCAAAUUAAAAUGCAUGUCCUUUCUU
rnacentral:sRNA from 1 species